UACAGAGGGUGCAAGCGUUAAUCGGAAUUACUGGGCGUAAAGCGCGCGUAGGUGGUUCGUUAAGUUGGAUGUGAAAUCCCCGGGCUCAACCUGGGAACUGCAUCCAAAACUGGCGAGCUAGAGUAUGGUAGAGGGUGGUGGAAUUUCCUGUGUAGCGGUGAAAUGCGUGGAUAUAGGAAGGAACACCAGUGGCGAAGGCGACCACCUGGACUGAUACUGACACUGAGGUGCGAAAGCGUGGGGAGCAAACAGG
rnacentral:rRNA from 1 species